AUGAAACAUGCAGUGACUGAAUUUGUCCAAUCCUGUGCAGUUUGCCAACAGGCCAAGCCCGAGAGAUGCAAGUACCCCGGCCUCCUUGAACCCCUUCCGGUUCCUGUUCGUGCAUGGCAGAUGGUUUCUAUGGAUUUCAUCGAAGGAUUGCCAUGGUCAGGACGAUUCAAUUGCAUUUUGGUCGUCGUGGAUAAGUUCUCCAAAUACAGCCAUUUCCUACCAUUGUCGCAUCCAUUCUCUGCUUCCCAAGUGGCAACUACUUAUGUGGAUCAAGUUUACAGACUGCAUGGACUACUAGAUUCUAUUCUAUCCGACCGAGAUCCAAUCUUUACAAGCAGAUUCUGGCAAGAGCUCUUUUGA
rnacentral:rRNA from 1 species